rnacentral:rRNA from 1 species
UACGAAGGGGGCUAGCGUUGUUCGGAAUUACUGGGCGUAAAGGGCGCGUAGGCGGUCCUGAUCGUCGGAUGUGAAAGGCCUGGGCUCAACCUGGGAACUGCAUCCGAUACGGCGGGACUGGAGUGUGGGAGAGGUUGGUGGAAUUCCCAGUGUAGAGGUGAAAUUCGUAGAUAUUGGGAAGAACACCGGUGGCGAAGGCGGCCAACUGGACCACAACUGACGCUGAGGCGCGAAAGCGUGGGGAGCGAACCGG